UACUUUUCAUUUCCCUUUUAUCUUAUUUUAGCUUUUCCCUCCACCACGUUUGGUUACACUCUGCCUUUAUUUUUGCUUUGGAUUAGGGUUCAGUUCAGGAAAUUGGUCUCCGUCGUCUCUCGUUGGCAGUCGUCGCUCAUCGGCAGUCGUCGCUCGUCGGCAAUCGUCGUCGUCGGCAAUCGUCGUCGUCGAUCAGUGCUCAUCGUCAACGGCGACAUUCAGUGAAAUCGUCUCUGUCGUGGCUCGUUUGUCGUCGGCCUGUGCUCGUCAUCGUGGACCUUCAAGGUGAACCCAAAAGCUACCAACUAAAUGAUAUUUGUUUAGGAAAGGUUAGGAAAGAGUAGAUAACAGUCUGAAUUACAAUUUUUGAUCAACUCUUGUCCCCAAAGGAGCUUGAAGAGGAUGUUUUUGAUAUUCUUGCCUUAUGGGCUACUCUAUUUUCUAAGACUCCAGAAAAUGAAAUUAAGAAAAAUGCUGAAUUGUUGUCAAGGAUUUAGUGAAGAACAAAGUAGAGUUGUUGAAAGCAUUAAAUGAGUAUAAUGUAGGAGAUAAAGUGGUGUUGAUGGUUCAAAGGGUAGUGAAAAGUUGGAGCUGCCUAUGGUACUCGAGGAACAAAGUUCUUGAAAUGUCAAUUGUACUGAGAAAGGAGUUGAUCUUUCAGAAAGUUGGAAGAAAGACAGCCAUUGUUGAGGAAGUUGCCAAUUAGUUCAAUCAAGAUCAGUCCUGGAAUGAUUCAAACUCACUUGGAGUCUAGGGAAGGAAAGUUCAAGCUUCUGGUGUAGAUGGUUGCAGACAGGUUUGGGCAGGUCCUUUAUCGGAAUUCGAUUGGUUGUUGCUCUCUGGAAUCGGUGCUCAAAAGUUGCCACGAUAACAGCUUCAUGGGAAGCACUUGGGCUUGAAUCUGGCAUUCAUGUUUCUGUGAGGGAUCUGUGGCAGCACAAGUUAGUAGCUGAAGAUGCAGUGUCAUCGUUCAGUGCUGGAGUUGAUAUCCACGACUGUAAACUCUACAUUUUCACUCCAUUUACAGUAUCUCACUCUGCAGAGUAGUAGCUCAUACUUCAUCCACUCAUGUUCCAUCUGUAUAGUCCAUUAUGGAUUCGCUGCAUGUUUCUUCUCUUCUCUUCUCUUCUGUUGCAUUAUUUGUUGGUCAGAUUCAGACAUGAAUGACUUAGAAUAAUUCGACAUCUUGGGUUUACAUCUCAAAUACAUUGUGUACAGGAUGGUCUGGUCCCUGCUCAUUCAUCAUGUUUACAUAAUUUCUGUACUAAAAGUUCCCUUGAAUGGAUUUUAUAUAUUUCAGAAACUAUGAUCGAAGUUUCUAUUAAAAAUGUUAUUAAUGAUUUUGUAUUUUAGUUUUCAAUGUGAA